UGGGGAAUAUUGCACAAUGGGCGCAAGCCUGAUGCAGCCAUGCCGCGUGUGUGAAGAAGGCCUCGGGUUGUAAAGCACUUUCAGCGAGGAGGAAGGUGGUGAGCUUAAUACGCUCAUCAAUUGACGUUACUCGCAGAAGAAGCACCGGCUAACUCCGUGCCAGCAGCCGCGGUAAUACGGAGGGUGCAAGCGUUAAUCGGAAUUACUGGGCGUAAAGCGCACGCAGGCGGUUUGUUAAGUCAGAUGUGAAAUCCCCGGGGCUCAACCUGGGAACUGCAUUUGAAACUGGCAAGCUAGAGUCUCGUAGAGGGGGGUAGAAUUCCAGGUGUAGCGGUGAAAUGCGUAGAGAUCUGGAGGAAUACCGGUGGCGAAGGCGGCCCCCCUGGACGAAGACUGACGCUCAGGUGCGAAAGGCGUGGGGGAGCAAAACAGGAUUAGAUACCCCUGG
rnacentral:rRNA from 1 species